ACUACCUUUUGGCUUAUAAACAACUCAUAAAAUGAAAUAAAAUUCAAACAAUAAAACAUUUAUACCUUCACAUGUAUCUUCAGUCCUAAAUUUAAAAAUCCGGCCAAGACCCAAACCUCAAAAGCAAUAGAAAGGAUAAUUCCGUUGCAGCCCAUUUAAAAACUUAAUAUGUAUAUAGUUUGCAAAUUUGAUCCAUUCUACGUGGGACCCUGCCCACCCGGCGUCCUGGUUCCUGCCGGCGGAUGCUGUGGCCCAUGUGGACCAUGUCGUCCUUGCGGCGGUGGUUGUUGCUCAUCUUCGCCAUGCGGCUGGUAACCAAUUGACGUUCUUGGCUGAGCAACUCAGAAGAUCAUUCAAUUUUUUAUUUUGGACCGCAAGAUGACAACUUUUACCAAAUGACUCUUGCAGUUAUCAUAACGACUGAAGAUAUUUGUAUGUGGCUUAUGCCAAAAUAAUUAAAAAAGUGUAUAAUGUUAA